rnacentral:rRNA from 1 species
UACGAAGGGGGCUAGCGUUGUUCGGAAUCACUGGGCGUAAAGCGCACGUAGGCGGAUUGUUAAGUCGGGGGUGAAAUCCUGAGGCUCAACCUCGGAACUGCCUUCGAUACUGCGGGUCUCGAGUCCGGGAGAGGUGAGUGGAAUUCCUAGUGUAGAGGUGAAAUUCGUAGAUAUUAGGAAGAACACCAGUGGCGAAGGCGGCUCACUGGCCCGGUACUGACGCUGAGGCGCGAAAGCGUGGGGAGCA